rnacentral:rRNA from 1 species
AUUGAACGCUGGCGGCGUGCUUAACACAUGCAAGUCGAACGGUAAGGCCCUUCGGGGUACACGAGUGGCGAACGGGUGAGUAACACGUGGGUGAUCUGCCCUGCACUUCGGGAUAAGCCUGGGAAACUGGGUCUAAUACCGGAUAGGACCACUGCCUGCAUGGGUGGUGGUGGAAAGCUUUUGCGGUGUGGGAUGGGCCCGCGGCCUAUCAGCUUGUUGGUGGGGUGAUGGCCCACCAAGGCGACGACGGGUAGCCGGCCUGAGAGGGUGACCGGCCACACUGGGACUGAGAUACGGCCCAGACUCCUACGGGAGGCAGCAGUGGGGAAUAUUGCACAAUGGGCGCAAGCCUGAUGCAGCGACGCCGCGUGAGGGAUGACGGCCUUCGGGUUGUAAACCUCUUUCAGCACCGACGAAGCGCAAGUGACGGUAGGUGCAGAAGAAGGACCGGCCAACUACGUGCCAGCCGCCGCCGUAA